rfam:Naematelia encephala strain 68-887.2 BCR39scaffold_68, whole genome shotgun sequence.
GCUCCCUUGGCCCAGCGGUAAGGCGUUGGACUUCUAAAUUUUGAACAUCCAAAGAUCACGGGUUCGAACCCCGUAGGGAGUU